GGUGGUAUGGCCAAGUGGUUAAGGCGAAGGUCUGCAAAACCUUAAUCCUCGGUUCGAAUCCGGGUGCCACCU
rnacentral:tRNA from 1 species